UACGAAGGUCCCAAGCGUUAUCCGGAUUUAUUGGGUUUAAAGGGUGCGUAGGCGGUUUAUUAAGUCAGUGGUGAAAGCCCCAGGCCCAACCUGGGAAUUGCCAUUGAUACUGAUGAUCUUGAGUACAUUUGAGGUAGGCGGAGUGUGUCAUGUAGCGGUGAAAUGCUUAGAUAUGACACAGAACACCAAUUGCGUAGGCAGCUUACUAAACUGUAACUGACGCUGAGGCACGAAAGCGUGGGGAGCAAACAGG
rnacentral:rRNA from 1 species